UUAGAUUUCAUCGAGUGCAAGUUCGUCAUGUACGUAAUAAUUAAAAAGUAUAAGUGCACAUUUUAAAAACUCUGUGAAACCAGUGCAGUAUUUCCUAAAAUGAGUACCUACUGCUCAGCAAGACAAUUAAAUAUCUACAAUAAUAAGCAGAAAACGUCGUUAUAGAUCUUGGUUAAAACAGAUCCCCAGUGACAUGAUUUAAUUAAUAAACUAAUUAAAUCGUGGAUAAGAAACUUCGACGAGAAGAAUUGAUUUAUAUCAUCAAUAAUCGUAGUAAAAAAGGUCUUAAUUUAUUUCAAUUUAUAAUAAAUUAUGGUUGUGGUUGUUUUAUUUGAAUAAAAAAUCUCAAGGUAUGGUGUUACAUAAAGGUGAUGGUAUGGUUGUGCUAAAAACGGUAAAGGUAAAAGGGUAAGUAAUGGUAAACGGUAAUAAAAGGUAAUAGUAAUCAGGUACCUAAGAAAGAACAUUCAGAGAUAGAAUCUUGACAUAGCUCUUCAGCUGUGUAUGUUAGGUAGGAGGACAUUCAGUGAGAGAAUCUUACCAUGGGUCUUGAGCUGAAUGUGUUAGGCAGAACAAACGGUAAGAGAAUCUUACCAUGGGUCUCUGAAGAUACUUACCUCGGGUCUUCAACCGUUUGUGUUAGGAAGGACAUUCAGUAAGAUAAUCUUACCAUGGGUAUUAAGCUGAAUGUGUUAGGCGAUACAUUCAACAAAGGAAUCUUACCAUGGGUCCUGAGUUGUCUGUGUCAUAUUAGGCAGGACGUUCGGUGAGAGAAUCUUACCACGGGUCUCUCUGAAGAUACUUACCUCGGGUCUUCAGCCGUUUGUGUUAGGAAGGACAUUCAGUAAGAUA